AUUGAACGCUGGCGGCAGGCCUAACACAUGCAAGUCGAGCGGAGGAAGGGAGCUUGCUCCUGGAUUCAGCGGCGGACGGGUGAGUAAUGCCUAGGAAUCUGCCUGGUAGUGGGGGAUAACGUCCGGAAACGGGCGCUAAUACCGCAUACGUCCUGAGGGAGAAAGAGGGGGAUCUUCGGACCUCACGCUAUCAGAUGAACCUAGGUCGGAUUAGCUAGUUGGUGGGGUAAAGGCCUACCAAGGCGACGAUCCGUAACUGGUCUGAGAGGAUGAUCAGUCACACUGGAACUGAGACACGGUCCAGACUCCUACGGGAGGCAGCAGUGGGGAAUAUUGGACAAUGGGCGAAAGCCUGAUCCAGCCAUGCCGCGUGUGUGAAGAAGGUCUUCGGAUUGUAAAGCACUUUAAGUUGGGAGGAAGGGCAGUAAGUUAAUACCUUGCUGUUUUGACGUUACCAACAGAAUAAGCACCGGCUAACUUCGUG
rnacentral:rRNA from 1 species